UGGCGGCAGGCCUAACACAUGCAAGUCGAGCGGUAACAGAGAUAGCUUGCUAUCUGCUGACGAGCGGCGGACGGGUGAGUAAUGCUUGGGAAUAUGCCUUUUGGUGGGGGACAACAGUUGGAAACGACUGCUAAUACCGCAUAACGUCUACGGACCAAAGUGGGGGACCUUCGGGCCUCACGCCAAGAGAUUAGCCCAAGUGGGAUUAGCUAGUUGGUGAGGUAAUGGCUCACCAAGGCAACGAUCCCUAGCUGGUUUGAGAGGAUGAUCAGCCACACUGGAACUGAGACACGGUCCAGACUCCUACGGGAGGCAGCAGUGGGGAAUAUUGCACAAUGGGCGCAAGCCUGAUGCAGCCAUGCCGCGUGUGUGAAGAAGGCCUUCGGGUUGUAAAGCACUUUCAGUCAGGAGGAAAGGUUAGUAGUUAAUAGCUACUAGCUGUGACGUUACUGACAGAAGAAGCACCGGCUAACUCCGUGCC
rnacentral:rRNA from 1 species